AUACGGAGGGUGCAAGCGUUAAUGGGAAUUACUGGGCGUAAAGCGCGCGUAGGCGGUUUGAUCAGUCGGAUGGGAAAGCCCUGGGCUCAACCUGGGAACUGCAUUCGAUACUGUCAGACUAGAAUAUGGUAGAGGGUAGUGGAAUUCCUGGUGUAGCGGUGAAAUGCGUAGAUAUCAGGAGGAACAUCAGUGGCGAAGGCGGCUACCUGGACCAAUAUUGACGCUGAGGUGCGAAAGCGUGGGGAGCAAACGGGAUUAGAUACCCUAGUAGUCC
rnacentral:rRNA from 1 species